UACGUAGGGGGCAAGCGUUGUCCGGAAUCAUUGGGCGUAAAGCGCGUGUAGGCGGCCCGGUAAGUCCGCUGUGAAAGUCCAGGGCUCAACCCUGGAAUGCCGGUGGAUACUGUCGGGCUCGAGUCCGGAAGAGGCGAGUGGAACUCCUGGUGUAGCGGUGAAAUGCGCAGAUAUCAGGAGGAACACCAAUGGCGAAGGCAGCUCGCUGGGACGGUACUGACGCUGAGACGCGAAAGCGUGGGGAGCAAACAGG
rnacentral:rRNA from 1 species